ACUUAUUUAAUAUAGAUAGUAUAUUUAGUUUCCACCUAAAAAGACCUAAGGGAAUAAGUA
rnacentral:tRNA from 1 species